ensembl:lncRNA
GCAUCCUAUAUUCCCAGCAUCCCAUCUACAGGACUCACAACCUGGGCCAUUCUUCCAAAGUAAAGAAGAGGACCAUUUAUGAGAUUGAUGACAAGAACUGCAGAAGAGAUUUGCAAGGGAAUAAAAUUAUGUUUUAGGAAAGCAGUGCAUUAAUCUUUUAAAAAUAAGAUGCAAUCAAUUUCUGGUUAAGCUGUUUAAAAUAUCCAGCUCCCUUUAUAACGUGCAGUUUAGUUGUCAGAAACAAUCAUGUGUUUUAUUUCUUACUAUUGAAACCCUUGUGUGCUUACGAAGGAAUAAAAACAUUCUAAGAUAGUGAAGCUCCUGCCUGUUAGAGGCGCAAGGGACACAUUUAGUUUUUCCGUGGCACAAGCCUCACUGGAUUAGGAUGCUUCUGAUACAGAAUUGCGUGCUGGCUCGACUUUGCACCAGGUGAGGCACCAGAGGUGGAUCAUGCUUGUGAACCUCAGUUUUCCAUUGUAUACACUGGGCAUGAAAAUACCUAUAUCAGGGAGUGGAAAGAGAUGAUACGGAUGCACAUGUAAAUGUACCUCAAGCACAUUCUCCAUGUGCUCUACAAGUGGUUAUGCAUUGAAUGAUUAUUUCGCAUCUUGGUAACCAAAUCUAUUUUCAAAAUGAUGCUUAUCAGGGUGGAUGAUCUGUGAGGGUUUAACCAAAUUGCCUCUAGCAGGAACUUGAAGAACUGUGGUGCUGUGUGUGGGUCUGCCUGGGAGCACCGCAGCUGCUUGGUAAAGCUGGGGAUCUCAUUUCCAUGCAGAGGAUUUGCUACGAAAUGGGUCACCUGUGUAGAGAGCAUUUCCCUACUUAUUCUAUUACGUGCAGGAAGCAGCACCAGAUGAAAUACACAUUCAAGCUGUCCGAUGUCAGGGUGCUCUAUUCCAACUCUCAGGUUUAAAAAUGUACAGGAUCCACUUUAAGCUAAAAGCUAAACCUUGACUGUAACCAAUUGCAAUGGUGUUUAUGCCCGUGUUUGAAAUAAUCUUCUGUAAGAGAAGUACACUGCUCAGAUUUGCCUAUUGGCUUGGAUUUAUGUAGUACUGGCUGGUGACAGCUGGACACAGCUGACUCCAAGGCACAUUUAAUCACCUUUUUCUUUGUUUUUCUGAUGAGAUUAUGUUACAAAUUCUAUAGGCCACAUACUUACUUGCCUAAUACUAAGAAUGUCUAAAAAACUAGAUUCAAAAACCCCAUAGUCUGUCCAGCUCACCUGUACCUAUUGAACUUACAUGUACUUUAAAAAAUCAUUGUGGCCGGGCGCGGUGGCUCAUGCCUGUAGUCCCAGGACUUUGGGAGGCUGAGGUGGGUGGAUCACGAGGUCAGGAGAUCGAGACCAUCCUGGCUCACACAGUGAAACCCCAUCUCUACUGAAAAUACAAAAAAUUAGCCGGGCGUGGUGGCGGGAGCCUGUAGUCCCAGCUACUUGGGAGGCUGAGGCAGGAGAAUGACGGGAACCCGGGAGGCGGAGCUCUCAGUGAGCCAAGAUCGUGCCACUGCACUCCAGCCUGGGAGGCAGAGCAAGACUCCAUCUCAAAAAAAAAAAAAAAAAAAA